rnacentral:snRNA from 1 species
AGUUUUGCACAGUGGCAGGGUCAUAACCAAUGAGGUUUAUCCGAGGUGUGAUUAUUGUUAAUUGAAUCUAAAAUGGAAUCAAUUGAAAGAAAGAAAAAUGUCUCCAGUUAAACUGAUACACAGUUUUAGAGAUGAUACUUGUGAAGUAUC